UACGAAGGGUGCAAGCGUUAAUCGGAAUUACUGGGCGUAAAGGGUGCGUAGGCGGUUGUUUAAGUCUGUCGUGAAAUCCCCGGGCUCAACCUGGGAAUGGCGAUGGAUACUGGGCAGCUAGAGUGUGUCAGAGGAUGGUGGAAUUCCCGGUGUAGCGGUGAAAUGCGUAGAGAUCGGGAGGAACAUCAGUGGCGAAGGUGGCCAUCUGGGACAACACUGACGCUGAAGCACGAAAGCGUGGGGAGCAAACAGG
rnacentral:rRNA from 1 species